UGGUUGGACAAGAAAUAAUCUGUCUUAAUUGAAAAUAUUGAAUUUAACUUUUAAGUGAAAAGGCUUAAAUAAUUUGGGGGGACGAUAAGACCCUAUAAAACUUUAUAUUUAGGGGUAAUAGUUAAUUUUGUUUUAUUUUAUUAUUUAAAAGUAUUUGGUUGGGGCGACGGGGAUAUAAUAUAUAAUAACUGUUCUUAUUUAUAACAAUGCUAUUUGGUUUUAUGGUCCUGAUAAUGGAUUAAAGAUUAAGUUACUUUAGGGAUAACAGCGUAAUUUUUUUUAAGAGUUCUUAUCGACAAAAAAGUUUGCGACCUCGAAUGUUGAAUUAAU
rnacentral:rRNA from 1 species